AGUCAAGCAGUAAGGCCUUUCGGGGUACACGAGCGGCGAACGGGUGAGUAACACGUGGGUGAUCUGCCCUGCACUUCGGGAUAAGCCUGGGAAACUGGGUCUAAUACCGGAUAUGACCUCCUAUCGCAUGGUGGGUGGUGGAAAGAUUUAUCGGUGCAGGAUGGGCCCGCGGCCUAUCAGCUUGUUGGCGAGGUAACGGCUCACCAAGGCUACGACGGGUAGCUGGUCUGAGAGGAUGGCCAGCCACAUUGGGACUGAGAAACGGCCCAGACUCCUACGGGAGGCAGCAGUGGGGAAUCUUGCGCAAUGGCCUAACGGCUGACGCAGCGACGCCGCGUGAGGGAUGAAGCUCCUCGGAGUGUAAACCUCUGUUGCCCGGGACGAAUAGCGGAUUUUUCCGACUUGACGGUACCGGGUGAGGAAGCACCGGCUAACUCCGUGCCAGCAGCCGCGGUAAUACGGGGGGUGCGAGCGUUGUCCGGAAUCACUGGGCGUAAAGGGCGCGUAGGUGGCUUUGUAAGUUUGCGGUGAAAGCCCGGGGCUCAACCCCGGGUCUGCCGUGAAUACUGCAAGGCUUGGGUACUGUAGAGGCAGGUAGAAUAUCGGGUGUAGCGGUGGAAUGCGUAGAGAUCCGAUAGAAGACCGGUGGCGAAGGCGGCCUGCUGGGCAGUAACUGACACUGAGGCGCGACAGCGUGGGGAGCAAACAGGAUUAGAUACCCUGGUAGUCCACGCCGUAAACGAUGGGUACUAGGUGCUUCGGGGAGCGACCCCUGGAGUGCCGGCGCUAACGCAGGAAGUACCCCGCCUGGGGAGUACGGCCGCAAGGCUGAAACUCAAAGGAAUUGACGG
rnacentral:rRNA from 1 species